GGGGGUGCUUUUGGUUUCGACAGGGGUUGCAAAGCGGAUGGGGGCAUGUCGGGGUCUCAGAUGCCCGUAAAAACAGCUGAAAAUAUAUAGUCGCAAACGACGAAACUUACGCCCUAGCAGCUUAAUGCUCUAGGCUCUACGCCACAGGGUCCAUCGGGUGGGUUGGGAAACCAAUAGUAGAGUCAUUAAGAUGGAAUCGCCUUAGCUUGGGUUACUUAAGUUAAGGUUAAAUUAAGGUAACUCGCCUUCCUCAAGCCUGCCCAUCGGCGUGAAAGGAGGUUAAAACCCAAAUGAUAAGGCUAAACAUGUAGAACUCACUGUAGAGUGCUUCUGGACGGGGGUUCGAAUCCCCCCACCUCCACCA
rnacentral:tmRNA from 1 species